rnacentral:rRNA from 1 species
CGUAAGCAACCUGCCCUGAAGUGGGGGAUAACAGUCCGAAAGGAUUGCUAAUACCGCAUGUGGUCAUUUUCUCGCAUGGGAGAAUGUCUAAAGCCUAGUGCGCUUCAGGAUGGGCUUGCGGCCUAUCAGCUUGUUGGUGGGGUAAUGGCCUACCAAGGCUUUGACGGGUAGCUGGUCUGAGAGGACGAUCAGCCGGAUUGGGACUGAGAUACGGCCCAG